rnacentral:rRNA from 1 species
AGGACGAACGCUGGCGGCGUGCUCAACACAUGCAAGUCGAGCGGUAAGGCUCCUUCGGGAGUACACGAGCGGCGAACGGGUGAGUAACACGUGAGCAAUCUGCCCUUCUCUUCGGAAUAACCAUUGGAAACGAUGGCUAAUGCCGAAUACGACCUCCUUUCGCAUGAUCGGAGGUGGAAAGCUCCGGCGGAGAAGGAUGAGCUCGCGGCCUAUCAGCUAGUUGGCGGGGUAACGGCCCACAAGGCGACGACGGGUAGCCGGCCUGAGAGGGUGACCGGCCACACGUGGGACUGAGACACGGCCCAGACCUCCGUACGGGA